AAGAGAUGGUUGAAUCACUUUUUUAGUGUCUAUUUAUUUUCGAUUGGUAUCUAUGGAUUGAUCACAAGCCGAAACAUGGUUAGAGCUCUAAUAUGUCUUGAACUUAUACUAAAUUCAAUUAAUCUAAAUCUCGUAACAUUUUCUGAUCUAUUUGAUAGUCGCCAAUUAAAAGGAGAUAUUUUCGCAAUUUUUGUUAUAGCCCUUGCGGCUGCUGAAGCCACUAUUAGACUAUCCAUUCUUUCUUCCAUCCAUCGUAAUAGGAAAUCCACUCGUAUCAAUCAAUCUAAUUUAUUGAAUAAUUAG
rnacentral:rRNA from 1 species